GGGGAAUAUUGCACAAUGGACGCAAGUCUGAUGCAGCAACGCCGCGUGGAGGAUGACGCAUUUCGGUGUGUAAACUCCUUUUAUAGGGGAAGAUAAUGACGGUACCCUAUGAAUAAGCACCGGCUAACUCCGUGCCAGCAGCCGCGGUAAUACGGAGGGUGCAAGCGUUACUCGGAAUCACUGGGCGUAAAGGAUGCGUAGGCUGGAAAUCAAGUCGAAAGUGAAAUCCAACGGCUCAACCGUUGAACUGCUUUCGAAACUGGUUACCUAGAAUAUGGGAGAGGUAGAUGGAAUUAGUGGUGUAGGGGUAAAAUCCGUAGAUAUCACUAGGAAUACCGAUUGCGAAGGCGAUCUACUGGAACAUUAUUGACGCUGAGGCAUGAAAGCGUGGGGAGCAAAC
rnacentral:rRNA from 1 species